rnacentral:rRNA from 1 species
GACGAACGCUGGCGGCGUGCUUAACACAUGCGAGUCGAACGGAAAGGCCCUGCUUGCAGGGUACUCGAGUGGCGAACGGGUGAGUAACACGUGGGUGAUCUGCCCUGCACUUCGGGAUAAGCCUGGGAAACUGGGUCUAAUACCGGAUAGGAGCCAUUUUUAGUGUGAUGGUUGGAAAGUUUUUUCGGUGUAGGAUGAGCUCGCGGCCUAUCAGCUUGUUGGUGGGGUAAUGGCCUACCAAGGCGGCGACGGGUAGCCGGCCUGAGAGGGUGGACGGCCACAUUGGGACUGAGAUACGGCCCAGACUCCUACGGGAGGCAGCAGUGGGGAAUAUUGCACAAGGGGCGCAAGCCUGAUGCAGCGACGCCGCGUGGGGGAGGACGGCCUUCGGGUUGUAAACUCCUUUCGCUAGGGACGAAGCUUUUUGUGACGGUACCUAGAGAAGAAGCACCGGCUAACUACGUG